rnacentral:rRNA from 1 species
GACGAACGCUGGCGGCGUGCUUAACACAUGCAAGUCGAACGGAAAGGCCCUGCUUUUGUGGGGUGCUCGAGUGGCGAACGGGUGAGUAACGCGUGAGUAACCUGCCCUUGACUUUGGGAUAACUUCAGGAAACUGGGGCUAAUACCGGAUAGGAGCUCCUGCUGCAUGGUGGGGGUUGGAAAGUUUCGGCGGUUGGGGAUGGACUCGCGGCUUAUCAGCUUGUUGGUGGGGUAGUGGCUUACCAAGGCUUUGACGGGUAGCCGGCCUGAGAGGGUGACCGGCCACAUUGGGACUGAGAUACGGCUCAGACUCCUACGGGAGGCAGCAGUGGGGAAUAUUGCACAAUGGGCGGAAGCCUGAUGCAGCAACGCCGCGUGCGGGAUGACGGCCUUCGGGUUGUAAACCGCUUUCGCCUGUGACGAAGCGUGAGUGACGGUAAUGGGUAAAGAAGCACCGGCUAACUACGUG